UACGGGGGGGGCAAGCGUUGUUCGGAAUUACUGGGCGUAAAGGGCUCGUAGGCGGCCAACUAAGUCGGAUGUGAAAUCCCCAGGCUUAACCUGGGAACUGCAUCCGAUACUGGAUGGCUUGAAUCCGGGAGAGGGAUGCAGAAUUCCAGGUGUAGCGGUGAAAUGCGUAGAUAUCUGGAGGAAUACCGGUGGCGAAGGCGGUUCUCUGGGACGGUACUGACGCUGAGACGCGAAAGCGUGGGGAGCGAACAGG
rnacentral:rRNA from 1 species